rnacentral:rRNA from 1 species
UGGGGAAUAUUGCACAAUGGGGGGAACCCUGAUGCAGCGACGCCGCGUGGGUGAAGGAGUAUUUCGGUAUGUAAAGCCCUAUCAGCCGGGAAGAACAAUGACGGUACCUGACUAAGAAGCACCGGCUAAAUACGUGCC